CUGAAGAAAAAUCAGCAAAUUUUGGUAACUUUGUCAGGGUUAUAGCAGACAACCAACAGUGAGUGGAGCAUGGUGCAAAAACUGACCAGGGAUGGAGAUGAAUGGGAAUGGAUUGAGUAGUUUGGAACUGUCUCCCUUUCGACUGAUGCCCAGCCGAGGCUGCAGCUCAGGAGCCUUUAAAAUCAACAUGUCAGAAACUGGUGAAGCCCUGGGGCUGAAGGUGCUGCUGCUCUCCAGUCCCAGGCUUGCCUCACCCUAGAGAACUCCCCGAGCUGCAUGCCCUGAUGCCUGAUGCUGAAACAGAUACAUUCAUUUCUCCCACUGCUCAUCCCUAUCUCUACAGAGCAUCCCUGCCUUGUUAUCCUCUUCUUAGGUGACCAGAGAGAACUUCAAGAACCUCAAAAAGGGAAGAACCACAUGAUGGAAGAAUUCUGGGUUCUUAAGUGAUGUCCCGGAAAGCCACCCAACCAAAACCCCUCAACUGGACUUGACAUGAGGCACAUGAGAAAUUCACCAAACUUGACUCCUAUAACUCCAGAAUGAUUCAACUUAUAAAUUGGUAAAUAUAUAUAUUCCACAUGUACUGUUUGAGCUGAAGAAGACAGUAGAGUUGUUACUGGCCAUCCUCUCCAUAUUACACAGGACAGUACUGAGAUAUAGAAAGGGAAAGGCUGUGUCUGGUGCGGCUGAGUUGUCUUGAUUUCAAGUCUCCUAACUCACACAAGAGAAUGUCCUGUUUGGAACAGCUUGGUCUCCACUGAUUGUACAGGAUGAUGCCUGUGCUCAGGGUGUCUAAAUGCAGUCUUCUUCCUUACACCCCCAUGGGAAUUCCUCCUGAAACUGCCCCUGUGGUUGAGAAGGGUCACCUUUGCAGAUAAAGAAGAGUUCUCUGACCAAGAGAAUCCAAGGAACUGUACUUCCUUGCC